UGAAACUGUUCAGUCAACAAGGAAUAGAUCUGGAAAAACUUCAAGACUCCACAGGUUCUAUCCACCAGGUUGCAGUAUUAAAAACAACUUUUCUACCAUCUUGAUGAAAAACGACAGAAAGUUUAUGAACCAGCUGAUCAACAUCUGAUGAUCUUCAUCAUUUCACUGAUGUUAUUCCAAGCCAGAUGAUGUCCAGCAUCCUGCUGCUCCUCAUCCUCAGCUCAUGUCUCUGUGCAGCAACAUUUGUAGUGAAAUGUGACACAGAGCAGCUAUCAGGCAGAGGAGAAGCAGAACAUCACUCUGGAGUGGACCUUCACCACCAAGACUCAGGAAACCUGGAGGAAAUCGUUCAUCUACUGCAGCUUGUUGAGCCAUGAAAAAGAACGAGUUCUCUAUCUGGUCCAUGAAGGAGUUGAGAUUCCAGAUUCUCAGCAUGAACAGUUUUCAGGACGAGUCCAGAUUGACAAAGACGUGCUCAGAGAAGGACGAAUCAGACUCCAUGUGUCCAGACUGAGGACUGAAGACUCUGGUCGGUAUCUGUGUGAAGUGAAAACUAAAGAUGGAUUCAACUCUGGAAGAUGUCGACUCAACGUUA